AUACCAGACACCACAGCAUCUUCUAUCACAAUAAGGAGAAUCCUUGAGACUAAGAGGGCUGCAGUAUGCUAAACCAGUCAGAUGUCUGCACUAAGUUCAGAAUCAACACGGUGACUUCCUGAGGGCAGGGGACAACCAGGUUACCUUGGUAGGGGUGAACAGGCCCAGGCUGGAAAGAAAGUAGGUCAAAACUUUCAUGCUGAUGAGUGGUGCAAUCGUGCCUGUGAACAGCCAUUGCACUCAGCUUGGGCAACAUAGCAAGAGCUGUUUUUU
ensembl:misc_RNA Metazoa_SRP Metazoan signal recognition particle RNA